UACGGAGGGUGCAAGCGUUAAUCGGAAUUACUGGGCGUAAAGCGCGCGUAGGCGGCUUGGUAAGUCGGAUGUGAAAGCCCUGGGCUCAACCUGGGAACUGCAUUCGAUACUGUCAAGCUAGAGUGUGGGAGAGGGUAGUGGAAUUCCCGGUGUAGCGGUGAAAUGCGUAGAUAUCGGGAGGAACAUCAGUGGCGAAGGCGGGUCUCUGGGCCGAUACUGACGCUGAGGAGCGAAAGCGUGGGGAGCAAACAGG
rnacentral:rRNA from 1 species